GAGGUAAACUGGGUGAUCGCUGUGAUGUGUAUACAUCGCAGAGGAAAGUCCGAACACCCCCAUGAAAGUGGGAAGAGGUAGCCGUUAACGACGGCCUGAUGUAAGUCACGGCUUUAUGGUAGAGAAGGGGAUAUACCCUUUUUCAAUCUUUUUUGCUAUGACCAAGUCACGGGAUAGUGCCCCUCAACAGGGUUUCGAUAGUGUCAAAAUCUACCGGAGCAACAGAAAAGUCCUCCCGCAAAGAGGAGUCGCUGUAAAAAGCGAUAAAAUACCGCCUACGCUUCCGCCAGUUGGCGGAUAGUACAGGUAAGGGUGAAAGGGUGCGGAAGCUCAUUGAAGAGCUGACUGUUUGCGAUUCAUCGUAGACAGGUAAGAGCGCACCAGUGUUGCAGUGAUGCAACAGCUUGGCAAACACCUACCAGGUGCAAGAGUAUAAACACUCGCAUGACUAUAUGAGCAAUCAUAUAGCAAGAGAGAUGGUCACCUCUCUGUUUUCUUUCGGGAAGACAGACAUGACAGAAUUCGGCUUAUAGGUUUACCUCGUAA
rnacentral:RNase_P_RNA from 1 species